rnacentral:misc_RNA from 1 species
GAUGAAGAACGUAGCGAAAUGCGAUACGUAGUGUGAAUUGCAGAAUUCAGUGAAUCAUCGAAUCUUUGAACGCACAUUGCACCUCUCGGUAUUCCGGGAGGUAUGCCUGUUCGAGCGUCAUUUGUACCCUCAAGCUCUGCUUGGUGUUGGGUGUUUGUUCCGCCUCUGUGUGUGAACUCGCCUCAAAACAAUUGGCAGCCGGCGUACUUGUUUCGGAGCGCAGCACAUUUUGCGAUCCAGAUCAACGUACAGCGGCAUCCAAGAAGCCUUAUUUAACGCUCUUGACCUCGGAUCUGGUAGGGAUACCCGCUGAACUUAAGCAUAUCAAUAAGCGGAGGA